rnacentral:rRNA from 1 species
GACGAACGCUGGCGGCGUGCUUAACACAUGCAAGUCGAACGGAAAGGCCCCUUCGGGGGUACUCGAGUGGCGAACGGGUGCGUAACACGUGAGUAACCUGCCCUUGACUUCGGGAUAACUUCAGGAAACUGGGGCUAAUACCGGAUAGGAAUCCUUGCUGCAUGGUGGGGGUUGGAAAGCUUCGGCGGUUUUGGAUGGACUCGCGGCUUAUCAGCUUGUUGGUGGGGUAGUGGCUUACCAAGGCUUUGACGGGUAGCCGGCCUGAGAGGGCGACCGGCCACAUUGGGACUGAGAUACGGCCCAGACUCCUACGGGAGGCAGCAGUGGGGAAUAUUGCACAAGGGGCGGAAGCCUGAUGCAGCAACGCCGCGUGCGGGAUGACGGCCUUCGGGUUGUAAACCGCUUUCAGCAGGGGCGAAGCUUGUGGUGACGGUACCUGCAGAAGAAGCACCGGCUAACUACGUG